rnacentral:rRNA from 1 species
AUUGAACGCUGGCGGCAGGCUUAACACAUGCAAGUCGAGCGGAGAUGAGGUGCUUGUACCUUAUCUUAGCGGCGGACGGGUGAGUAAUGCUUAGGAAUCUGCCUAUUAGUGGGGGACAACAUUCCGAAAGGAAUGCUAAUACCGCAUACGUCCUACGGGAGAAAGCAGGGGAUCUUCGGACCUUGCGCUAAUAGAUGAGCCUAAGUCGGAUUAGCUAGUUGGUGGGGUAAAGGCCUACCAAGGCGACGAUCUGUAGCGGGUCUGAGAGGAUGAUCCGCCACACUGGGACUGAGACACGGCCCAGACUCCUACGGGAGGCAGCAGUGGGGAAUAUUGGACAAUGGGGGGAACCCUGAUCCAGCCAUGCCGCGUGUGUGAAGAAGGCCUUAUGGUUGUAAAGCACUUUAAGCGAGGAGGAGGCUACUGAGACUAAUACUCUUGGAUAGUGGUCGUUACUCGCAGAAUAAGCACCGGCUAACUCUGUGCCAGCCGCCGCGGUAAUAC